ensembl:lncRNA
UGUCACACAAUUCAUGCAUCCAGUACAGGGUAAAGAAUCAGUUUUACACAAAUUGGUGCUGUUCCAGUGAAAGUUUCUACCAGUCAAUCAGGUGUACUCUAAACAGCCUUUUCAAAUGAUGCCCCAAUGGAUUAUCUGAGCAAUUUCCCACUGAAGGCAGUGAGUAACCACUGAGUGAGGAUGGAACAGAAGGGGACUCCUCUUUGGAAAGAUAGAAUUUGCUGAAGCUCUGGUUUUUGACCAGCUCUCAGAACCACUCUCAGGAGUCAUCCACGUGCUCGGUGGUUGCUGCUCUCUUCAGAGAUUAUAAUCUCCUUCAAGCAGAGACUCAUCUUCUUGCACAACUCUGAAUGCCACUGAAGUCAGAAACUGCACAGCCAUCAACACCGAGAUAAUGCAGAAGCAGGGCUGAACAGAGGACAAUAACGUUUUCUGUGUCACAUUAGCAUCUCAGUGAUAUCUUAAAUGGGAAUGAAAAUCAUGAUAAGCAGUGUGGACACCAUUCAUUCCAAAAGCCAGUAUUUAAAACCCUGAUGUAUUUUGCAAUUCUAUAUCUGAAAGAACAGCUAGGAGUGCCAUGAUCUGCCCCUUUGACAGCCAUGGGAGGUAGAUAUAGAGAAGACAGCCUCAGGCAUGGAUCUGCAGUCACUGCCAGGUACAAAAUUCUCCAAUUUGCAAUGCCACGUGAAAGAUCUCCUGCUGUUUGAGUGCACGUAUGGCCAGCCCAUCUACGAGCAGAUUAAGUAACCCUUCUUUGAUGGACAAUUUUGUUCAACUUUCUUCAUCACAGGCUAAAGUACAUGAGAAGGUAUUAUCAACAUCUGAAAAUAAACUUGCUAUAAUGAGAUUAAUAUGGUUGGUUGAUUACAUUCAGUCAUCAUUUUCUAACCCUGAUUUUAAUUUCGCUCCACAUUUUAAGUUCGUGCUAUAUAAACUCAUAUUUACUUUCUUAUGCUCCUCACUGCACUCAGUUUUCCAAGUUGCUUUCUAAUUUGCUUUAAUCUUCA